AAUUUCUAUUGUGUCCAAUUAGAUUCUUAUCUUUCAUGAUAUUCAUACACUUAUUCAAAUAAUAAUUAAAACAAAAUAAUCGUUAUAUACAACAAUGUUGCAAAUGAUAUAAAAUUUUUUUGAUAAAUUUAAAUAUUGAUUCAAUAUUCGAAUUGAUAUAAUUAGUUUGUUACUACAAAUUGAGAGAUCAACAUGGUGACGAAAAUGUCACGUUAUCGUGAAUGGGAUCUUUCAUGUAAAGUUUAUGUCGGUAAUUUAGGAAAUAGUGCUAGUAAACAUGAAAUUGAAAGUGCAUUUAGUAAAUAUGGUCCACUUAGAAAUGUGUGGGUUGCUAGAAAUCCACCGGGAUUUGCUUUUGUAGAAUUUGAAGAUCCACGAGAUGCAGAAGAUGCAGUUAGGGGAUUAGAUGGAACACGCUGUUGUGGAACUAGAGUAAGAGUAGAAAUGUCUUCAGGAAGAAGCAGACGUGGAGGUGGUGGACGAAGACCAGGUCCAAGAUAUUCCAGGUCCAGAUCUCGCAGUCCUCGAAGGAGAUCAUUGGGUCGUUAUCCAAGGUCCUGUUCAAGAAGUCCACGCAGAUCACCAAUAUGCCGAUAUUCCAGUGCUGGAGGAUUUCAACAGCAAGUCAACUAUGUGGGGUUUCCCAGCUAUGGACUCGAGGGAUUUUGAUGGACUGAGUAGCUAAUUUGGACUUCCAAUUGAACAAUUAGGAGGUCAAUUAGCACGUGCGUACGGUUCCAGAGUCAAGAUCCCGUAGCCCGCGCAGAAGAUCUUUAACCCGUAGUCGCAGCCGAGAUCGUCGUUCUCGUUCGGAUUCCCGUGACAGACGUUAGAUGCUAAAAGUAUUCCAGACAAUGGAUCUACUAAAUAUGGCAGAAAGAAGAUAAAAGAAAAAUGAUUUUAUAUGUAUAUAAAAAAGAUCGUUAUUACACGUACAUACAGUUUAACAAUUAUUAUUAUAA